CAGAUGUAGUUCAUCGGUAGAACGUCAGCUUCCCAAGCUGAAGAGGGGGGUUCGAUUCCCCUUAUCUG
rnacentral:tRNA from 1 species